AUGGUGCAGAAGAAAACAGCCGAACUUCAGGGCUUCCACCGUCCGUUCGAGGGGCAGAACCCUUUCGGGCCAGCCUUCUCCCUAGACCAGGCCCGCCACGGGGACCCUGAGGACUCUGACUUCAGCCUGCAGCUCGGGGCCUGCCCUGACAUGCCCACCAGCCAGCCCAUGGACAUCCCCGACGACGAGAAGAGGAGCAAGAGGAAGCGCAGCCACGCCACGGCAGCUUCUCCGGCAGGUUCGAAGACGCCUACCCGCUGCAGGGGGACGUGCUGGGAAGGCGCCCGCGCCGCGUGCAGACCCGCGCCAGCCUCAUCGCUAACCGGGAGUACGCCGUCAAGGCACUGAGAAGCAACCGGCCACAUUGGGAGCAGGGUUUUCCAGGAGGUGGAGAGGGUGUAUCCGUGCCAGGGACGCAGGAACGUCCUGGAGCUGGCUGCAUUCUUCGGGGAGGAAGACCACUUCUACCCGGUGUUUGAGAAGAUGCGGGUGGUUCCGUUCUGAGUCACAUCCACAAGCAGUGGCACUUUGAUGAGCUGGAGGCCAGCGUGGUGGUGCAGGACGUGGCCAGCGCCCUGGACUUCCUGCACAACAAAGGCAUUGCCCACAGGGGCCUGAAGCCGGGAGACAUCCUCUGCCAGCACCCCAACCAGGUGGCCCCCGUGAAGAUCUGCGACUUCGACCUGGACAGCAGCAUCAAGCUCAGAGGAGACUGCUCCCCCAGCUCCACCCCGUGCGGCUCGCCGAGUGCAUGGCCCCUGAGGUGGUGGAGGCCCUCAGCGAGGAGGCCAGCAUCUGCAACAAGCGCUGCGACCUGUGGAGCCAGGUCUCCUCCUGUACAUCCUGCUCAGCGGCCACCCGCUGUCCGUGGGCCACCGUGGCAGCAACUGCGGCUGGGACCGUGGCGAGGCCUGCCCGGCCUGCCAGGACAUGCUGUUUGAGAGCGUUCAGGAGGGCAAGUACGAGUUCCCGACAAGGACUGGCCCACAUCUCCCGCCCCGCCAAAGACCUCAUCUCCAAGCUGCCCGUCCACGACGCCAAGCAGCAGCUGAGCGCUGCCCAAGUCCUGCAGCACCCUGGGUGCAGGGGUGCGCCCAGAGGACACCCCGCCCACGCCCAUGGUCCUGCAAAGGGACAGCUGUGCCAAAGACCUCACGUCCUUUGCGGCCAAGGCCAUCGUAUGAACCGGCAGCUGGCCCAGCGAGAAGAGGACUUGGCGGAGGAGGAGGCCGCGGGCAGGGCCAGCCCGUCCUCCCCAGCCACCUCACGCUGCCUGCAGCCGUCCCCGCCCUCCGAGUCCAAGCUGGCCCAGUGGGGACAGAGAGCCAGCCUGUCCGGGCCCCCGUGGUCCUCGUGGGAGACCGCACCUGA